rnacentral:sRNA from 1 species
GCUGGGCAUGGUGGCGCACGUCUGUAAUCCCAGCAGCUGGGGAGGCUGAGGCAGGAGGAUUGUGAGUUCAAAGCCAGCCUCAGCAAUAGCGAGGCACUAAGCAACUCAGUGAGACCCUGUCUCUA